ACCAUCCUUUUCUCAGGGUUGUACUAUGUCCAAUCAGCGCAUAGUGAGGGCAGCACUGCUAACGCCUACACAACACACCUGCAUCAACUAAAGGUUUGCUUUUACCUUGAUGCAAUUUUCAGUAAA
ensembl:snRNA